GUGGGGAAUAUUCCGCAAUGGACGAAAGUCUGACGGAGCAACGCCGCGUGAGUGAUGAAGGUUUUCGGACUGUAAAGCUCUGUUGUUCAGGACGAAAGUGCCUGUUGCGAACAGUUACAGGUAUUGACGGUACUGAACGAGGAAGCCACGGCUAACUACGUGCCAGCAGCCGCGGUAAUACGUAGGUGGCAAGCGUUGUCCGGAAUUAUUGGGCGUAAAGAGCAUGUAGGCGGGAAUCUAAGUCUGUUGUGAAAAUGCGGGGCUCAACCCCGUAUGGCGAUGGAAACUGGAUUUCUUGAGUGCAGGAGAGGAAAGGGGAAUUCCCAGUGUAGCGGUGAAAUGCGUAGAUAUUGGGAGGAACACCAGUGGCGAAGGCGCCUUUCUGGACUGUGUCUGACGCUGAGAUGCGAAAGCCAGGGUAGCGAACGGGAUUAGAUACCCUGGUAGUCC
rnacentral:rRNA from 1 species